UCCGAUAAGGGCAAACCCGGGGCGACCCGGGGACGCAAAGUUACGAAUCCCCCGCGGAUGGUCGGACUGCCGAAG
rfam:Desulfuromonas soudanensis strain WTL chromosome, complete genome.